rnacentral:rRNA from 1 species
UACGAAGGGGGGCUAGCGUUGCUCGGAAUCACUGGGCGUAAAGGGUGCGUAGGCGGGUCUUUAAGUCAGGGGUGAAAUCCUGGAGCUCAACUCCAGAACUGCCUUUGAUACUGAGGAUCUUGAGUUCGGGAGAGGUGAGUGGAACUGCGAGUGUAGAGGUGAAAUUCGUAGAUAUUCGCAAGAACACCAGUGGCGAAGGCGGCUCACUGGCCCAGAUACGUGACGCUGAGGCACGAAAGCGUGGGGAGCAAACAGG